UAUGGGAAUUUGGUGAUAUC
rnacentral:siRNA from 1 species